rnacentral:rRNA from 1 species
UACGAAGGGGGCUAGCGUUGCUCGGAAUCACUGGGCGUAAAGCGCACGUAGGCGGAUUGCUAAGUCAGGGGUGAAAUCCUGGAGCUCAACUCCAGAACUGCCUUUGAUACUGGCGAUCUCGAGUCCGGGAGAGGUGAGUGGAACUGCGAGUGUAGAGGUGAAAUUCGUAGAUAUUCGCAAGAACACCGGUGGCGAAGGCGGCCUGCUGGGCAGUUGCUGACACUGAGGCGCGACAGCGUGGGGAGCAAACAGG